rnacentral:tRNA from 1 species
GGGGCUGUGGCUCAGUGGUAGAACAUCAGGUUUUGCAUGCACAGAGUCCUGGGUUCAGUCCCCAGCACCUCCA